rnacentral:rRNA from 1 species
AGUGAACGCUGGCGGUAGGCCUAACACAUGCAAGUCGAACGGCAGCACAGGAGAGCUUGCUCUCUGGGUGGCGAGUGGCGGACGGGGGAGGAAUACAUCGGAAUCUACCUUUUCGUGGGGGAUAACGUAGGGAAACUUACGCUAAUACCGCAUACGACCUACGGGUGAAAGUGGGGGACCGCAAGGCCUCACGCGAUUAGAUGAGCCGAUGUUCGAUUAGCUAGUUGGCGGGGUAAUGGCCCACCAAGGCGACGAUCGGUAGCUAGUCUGAGAGGAUGAUCAGCCACACUGGAACUGAGACACGGUCCAGACUCCUACGGGAGGCAGCAGUGGGGAAUAUUGGACAAUGGGCGCAAGCCUGAUCCAGCCAUACCGCGUGGGUGAAGAAGGCCUUCGGGUUGUAAAGCCCUUUUGUUGGGAAAGAAAUCCUGUCGAUUAAUACUCGGUGGGGAUGACGGUACCCAAAGAAUAAGCACCGGCUAACUUCGUGCCAGCAGCCGCCGUAAUAC